GACGAACGCUGGCGGCGUGCUUAACACAUGCAAGUCGAACGGAGUGGCGAACGGGUGAGUAACACGUGGGUGAUCUGCCUUGCACUUCGGGAUAAGCUUGGGAAAAUGGGUCUAAUACCGGAUAGUGCAAGAUGAGCUCGCGGCUGAAUAGCUUGUUGGUGGGGUAAUGACCUACCACAGCGUCGACGGGUAGCCGGCCUGAGAGGGAGUACGGCCACAUUGGGACUCAGAGACGGCCCAGACUCCUACGGGAGGCAGCCGUGGGGAAUAUUGCACUAUGUGCGGAAGCCUGAUGUAGCGACGCAGCGUGGGGGAUGUAGGCCUUCGUGUUGUAAACUCCUUUCGACAGGGACGCGGUACCUGUAUAAGAAGCACCGGCUAACUACGUGCCAGCAGCCGCGGUAAUUC
rnacentral:rRNA from 1 species